rnacentral:lncRNA from 1 species
UGCUAUGUUGGUUCAGAUUUUAGGCAUGCUGGCAAAUCAGUUCUGGCGGUGGAAAUUGAGCCGAGGAUGGCAAUAAAGGUUAUAUGGUGCUUCGUAGGUGUGUGGAAAUAAUAGGAUGUCUUGAGCUUUUAUUGGUAAAGAAUGCUCAGUGUAUAGAGAAGGAAGAUGCUUGUUUGUAUUGGUAUGAGGUCGUAUCCUGCGGUGUUAGAGUGCAAAUGAGGCACAGAUGGUUUUGUUCGUUGAGCAUGCUAAAUGCAAGUUGAAUAGAGUGAAUGACUCUCGAAAAUAGGUCUAAUGUGUUUAUGAUUCUACAUGUAACAAUGGGGCAUCUUAAAGUACCAUGUGUG